CUUUAAUGGAAACCUAAGGUUUACUUGUCCCCAGGAAGAUUCAGAAUUGUUAAGGAUGGCCGGACGCAGUGGCUCACACCUGUAAUCCCAGCACUUUGGGAAGCCGAGGUGGGCAGAUCACUUGAUGUCAGGAGUUUAAGACCAGCUGGCCAACAUGGUAAAAUCUAAAGUCUACUGUCUACUAAAAAUACAAGAAUUAGACCAGGCGCGGUGGCUCACGCCUGUAAUCCCAGCACUUUGGGAGGCCAAGGCAGGUGGAUCACGAGGUCAAGAGAUCGAGACUAGCCUAACCAACAUGGUGAAACCCCGUCUCUACGAAAAAUACAAAAAAUUAGCCGGGCGUAGUGGCGGGUGCCUAUAGUCCCAGCUACUCGGGAGGCUGAGGCAGGAGAAUUGCUUGAAGCUCAGAGGUGGAGGUUGCAGUGAGUCGAGAUCUUGCCACUGCACUCCAGCCUGGGCGACAGAGCGAGACUCCGUCUCAAAAAAAAAAAAAAAAAGUUAAGGACUAUUCUGGUUCCAGUUUAGGAUCUAACAUACAGGAAGAGUUUAGUUCUGUGUAGAUGGUGCAGA
rnacentral:lncRNA from 1 species